rfam:Geoalkalibacter subterraneus strain Red1, complete genome.
CGGGGCGUAGCGCAGUCUGGUAGCGCACCUGCUUCGGGAGCAGGGGGUCGGAGGUUCAAAUCCUCUCGCCCCGA